AUUGUUCCAAUCAUUUAGGAGUAGUUGAGUUGAGUAGUAUAGUAUAUUUCACAAUAUCAAUUUUUUUAUUUUCUAUUCAGAAAAAAGCAAAAUAUUAUCUUCCUCACUUUACUUUCCCUUAACAGAUCAAUCCCCACAAAUUCUUUCCUCUUUCUAUUUUCUUUCCUCUUCUUUCUUCUCCAUCAAAAUCCCAUCUUUUUAUCAAAAAUUCAAUCUUUUUAUAUAAUUUUGAUCAUUUAACACUUUCCCAUUUGUCCUCUCGUGCAAUCUUUACAUAUAUGUUGGCCAUAUUUAUUUGUUUUGAUCAAUAAUGUUGGAAAUGACAUUCCAAGAAUCAAUCUUUUUAUUUAUUGUUGUUUCUUGAUUGUUCUUGUGGUUGAAAUAAUCAAGGGAUGUAGUUGAUUGAUAAGCUGGUUCUUGAUACACAAUUUUCUUGUUUAAUUUGAUCAAACUUUUUUUUGUUGGUCUCAGAAUUUUCAGGGUAUGAUAAGAUGAGGGUAUCUCCAAUAGGGUGAUUUUGAUUGGCCUAAAUUAUUGGCGGGGGUGGGNUCUCCAAUAGGGUGAUUUUGAUUGGCCUAAAUUAUUGGCGGGGUUGGUUUUUUCGUUGUUGAAAUUAGGCAUUUAGAUCUGGUUAGGUUGGAAAAUAAGAUUGUGAAAUUAUGGAUCAUGUUGUGGGUGGAAAGUUUAAACUGGGAAGAAAAAUUGGAAGUGGUUCUUUU
rnacentral:lncRNA from 1 species